GUGAGGGCUACGGCCCACACACUCCUCACACACACCGGCCCGACGAGCUCGGGCUUU
rnacentral:sRNA from 21 species